UACGAGGGGGGCAAAUGUUGUUCGGAAUCACUAGGCGUAAAGGGAGCGUAGGCGGGUUUCUAAGUCAGGUGUUUAAUCCCGGGGCCCAACCCCGGACAGGCACUUGAAACUGGGAAUCUUGAAUAGUGGAGAGGUCAGUGGAAUUGGGGGUGUAGCGGUGGAAUGCGUAGAGAUCCCCAAGAACACCAGUUGCGAAGGCGGCUGACUGGACACAUAUUGACGCUGAGGCUCGAAAGCAUGGGGAGCAAACAGG
rnacentral:rRNA from 1 species